GGUCGAGCAAGGAUGAAAAUCGGACUUAGUGAUCCGGUGGUUCUGCGUGGAAGGGCCAUCGCUCAACGGAUAAAAGCUACCCUGGGGAUAACAGGCUUAUCUCCCCCAAGAGUCCACAUCGACGGGGAGGUUUGGCACCUCGAUGUCGGCUCAUCACAUCCUGGGGCUGUAGUAGGUCCCAAGGGUUGGGCUGUUCGCCCAUUAAAGUGGUACGCGAGCUGGGUUCAGAACGUCGUGAGACAGUUCGGUCC
rnacentral:rRNA from 1 species